rnacentral:rRNA from 1 species
UAGGGAAUCUUCCACAGUGGACGCAAGUCUGAUGGAGCAACACCGCGUGAGUGAAGAAGGGUUUCGGCUCGUGAAGCUCUGUUGUUAAAGAAGAACGUGGGUAAGAGUAACUGUUUACCCAGUGACGGUAUUUAACCAGAAAGCCACGGCUAACUACGUGCCAC